GCGAGAAAACUUUGCAAUGUGCGAAAGCACGACAAGGUUAAUCCGAGUGGUUUCUGCUAAAGAAACCUUUUGUCAGUCCUAGAAACACUAACGAAUAAGGGGUGGGCAAGUUCUGGUGUCAGCCGCCGCGGUAAAACCAGCACCUCAAGUGGUCAGGAUGAUUAUUGGGCCUAAAGCAUCCGUAGCUCGUUUUGUAAGUUUUCGGUUAAAUCCAUACGCUUAACGUAUGGGCUGCCGGGAAUACUGCAUAACUAGGAAGUGGGAGAGGUAGACGGUACUCGGUAGGAAGGGGUAAAAUCCUUUGAUCUAUUGAUGACCACCUGUGGCGAAGGCGGUCUACCAGAACACGUUCGACGGUGAGGGAUGAAAGCUGGGGGAGCAAACCGGAUUAGAUACCCCAGUAGUCCCUGAGCGGGCUGGCAAGGCGCAU
rnacentral:rRNA from 1 species